GCAUGUGAGAGCAAUCUGUCACCCCAUCGGUUGCCAGGAUCGAUGUGACUGACCCAGUUGGCCGGGUGGGUGUUCCCUUCCUCCCUCAUCUCUUCACGUGCACCCCUCUAAAACUGCCUGCUUUGUUGCAGAAGGUAACCUUCCCCAGUAGAGGAGGACUUUUCUUCCAUCCAGGUUAUAAAAGUAGUUGUUUCUCUACUGGAACCUCCAAAGAAGCUCUCAAGGUCCACUGAUAUGUUUUAAAGCCUGAAAAUUAAUGUUUCAAUGAAAGAAAUGACAAAUAAACACAUAAUUACAAUUGAUUGU
ensembl:misc_RNA 7SK 7SK RNA